UACGAACUGUGCGAACGUUAUUCGGAAUCACUGGGCUUACAGGGUGCGUAGGCGGCUUGUUAAGUAGGGUGUGAAAGCCCCCGGCUCAACCGGGGAAUUGCGCCCUAAACUGGCGAGCUGGAGUGAGAUAGGGGUGUGUGGAACUUCCGGUGGAGCGGUGAAAUGUGUUGAUAUCGGAAGGAACACCGGUGGCGAAGGCGGCCAACUGGACGAGUACUGACGCUGAGACACGAAAGCGUGGGGAGCAAACAGG
rnacentral:rRNA from 1 species